rnacentral:rRNA from 1 species
CACGAACCGCGCGCACGUUGUUCGGAAUCACUGGGCUUAAAGGGCGCGUAGGCGGUCGGCCAAGUCCGGGGUGAAAUCUUUCGGCUCAACCGGAAAAUAGCCUUGGAUACUGGUCGACUUGAGGGAGGCAGGGGCAUGUGGAACUUCCGGUGGAGCGGUGAAAUGUGUUGAUAUCGGAAGGAACACCGGUGGCGAAAGCGACGUGCUGGACCUCUUCUGACGCUGAGGCGCGAAAGCCAGGGGAGCAAACGGG